AUGCCUACGCUAAUCCAUUAUGUGCAAUCUGGGUUUAUCAAGGGUCGUGGAAUUGCGGACAACUUCCUCCUAGCUGCUGACAUUGUGCAAGCUUGCUAUAAACGUAAAAUUCCAACGAUCGUUCUAAAAUUAGACUUUCAAAAAGCCUUCGACUCCGUGUCUUGGGACGCCCUAUCUCGUAUCCUACAGGCUAAAGGAUUCCCUGCACUUUGGUGUAGGUGGAUCGAAUCCCUAAAUUGCUUGAGCAGUUCUGCAGUAGUUCUUAAUGGGAAGCCCGGGCCUUGGUUUCCUUGUCGGCGAGGCUUCCGUCAGGGCGACUCCCUCUCUCCUUACCUGUUCAUUAUAGUGGCUGACGUUCUACAACGUUUGAUU
rnacentral:rRNA from 1 species